CCGGGCGCGGUCGGUCCUCCAGGCGGGGUGAGCCGAGCGGCGCUGGUCCUCCAGGCGGGGUGAGCCGAGCGGCGCUGGUCCUCCAAGCGGGGUGAGCCGAGCGGCGCUGGUCCUCCAGGCGGGGUGAGCCGAGCGGCGCUGGUCCUCCAGGCGUGGGCGCGGGGUGAUCCGUCAGUUACCCGGGUUUAGGAGCCGUUGCUGUGGACGGAGAGACAGGGACGUGAGUGGCC